rnacentral:rRNA from 1 species
UACAGAGGUGGCGAGCGUUGUUCGGAUUUACUGGGCGUAAAGGGCGCGUAGGCGGCUCCGUGUGUCGCGUGUGAAAUCCCCGGGCUCAACCCGGGAAGUGCGCGCGAAACUGCGGGGCUCGAGCGGAGGAGGGGAGAGCGGAAUUCAUGGUGUAGCGGUGAAAUGCGCAGAUAUCAGGAGGAACACCAAUGGCGAAGGCAGGUCUCUGGGCAGUUACUGACGCUGAGGAGCGAAAGCAUGGGUAGCGAACAGGAUUAGA